rnacentral:misc_RNA from 1 species
GAUGAAGAACGUAGCGAAAUGCGAUAAGUAAUGCGAAUUGCAGAAUUUCCGUGAGUCAUCGAAUCUUUGAACGCACAUUGCGCCCACUGGUAUUCCGGUGGGCAUGCCUGUUCGAGCGUCAUUAUCCUCCCUCAAACCCCGGGUUUGGUGUUGGACCCAAGUUGUGUGAACAACUGGUCUUAAAGACAAUGACGGCGUCCGUGGGACCCUCGGUGCAACGAGCUUUUAGGAGCACGCAUCGAGUUGCAAGGACCUUCCGGGCCGGUCUCCUUUACUAUUUUACAAUGUUGACCUCGGAUCAGGUAGGAAUACCCGCUGAACUUAAGCAUAUCAAUAAGCGGAGGA